rnacentral:rRNA from 1 species
UACGUAGGGGGCGAGCGUUGUCCGGAUUCAUUGGGCGUAAAGAGCUCGUAGGCGGCUUGGCAAGUCGGGUGUGAAAACUCCAGGCUCAACCUGGAGACGCCACCCGAUACUGCCAUGGCUUGAGUCCGGUAGGGGACCACGGAAUUCCUGGUGUAGCGGUGAAAUGCGCAGAUAUCAGGAGGAACACCGGUGGCGAAGGCGGUGGUCUGGGCCGGUACUGACGCUGAGGUGCGAAAGCGUGGGGAGCAAACAGG